AGCUCUCUGCUGUGGCCUAUGGCUUUUCAUUCCUAUGUGAUUGCUGUUCCCAACUCAUGUAGGGCUAAAAGCCAUGGGCUACAGGGAGGGGAGAGCCUCC
ensembl:miRNA mdo-mir-135b mdo-mir-135b